rnacentral:rRNA from 1 species
GAUGAACGCUGGCGGCGUGCCUAAUACAUGCAAGUCGAGCGAACAGACGAGGAGCUUGCUCCUCUGACGUUAGCGGCGGACGGGUGAGUAACACGUGGAUAACCUACCUAUAAGACUGGGAUAACUUCGGGAAACCGGAGCUAAUACCGGAUAAUAUAUUGAACCGCAUGGUUCAAUAGUGAAAGACGGUUUUGCUGUCACUUAUAGAUGGAUCCGCGCCGCAUUAGCUAGUUGGUAAGGUAACGGCUUACCAAGGCAACGAUGCGUAGCCGACCUGAGAGGGUGAUCGGCCACACUGGAACUGGGACACGGUCCAGACUCCUACGGGAGGCAGCAGUAGGGACUCUUCCGCAAUGGGCGAAAGCCUGACGGAGCAACGCCGCGUGAGUGAUGAAGGUCUUCGGAUCGUACGACUCUGUUAUUAGGGAAGAACAAAUGUGUAAGUAACUAUGCACGUCUUGACGGUACCUAAUCAGAAAGCCACGGCUAACUACGUG